rnacentral:misc_RNA from 1 species
AAGUCGUAACAAGGUUUCCGUAGGUGAACCUGCGGAAGGAUCAUUACCGAAACAAAAACCAAAAAACAAGGCUCACCAAGCUCUGCUCCGGCGGAGCUGGUGUGGUUCCUUUGAGCUGGCUGCACUUGAUGAAAAAAUGGUUGCAGACUGGCAAAAACUCUCAGCGAGUCUUCCUUGCCCUUAGCGGGGUAAGGGAGCACCGUUUGAAAAAAUUUUGUAACCAAGCAAUAUACACACACAUGCAAUAAGCAAAAAUUUUGAAAAACAAGCAAUAAACGAAAAACAAAAAGACGAAAUAAAAACCUCGAGUGGUGGAUCACUCGGCUCGUGG